UACAGAGGUCUCAAGCGUUGUUCGGAUUCAUUGGGCGUAAAGGGUGUGUAGGUGGCGCGCUAAGUCGGGUGUGAAAUUUCGGAGCUUAACUCCGAAACUGCAUUCGAUACUGGCGUGCUUGAGGACUGGAGAGGAGACUGGAAUUCAUGGUGUAGCAGUGAAAUGCGUAGAGAUCAUGAGGAAGACCAGUGGCGAAGGCGGGUCUCUGGACAGUUACUGACGCUGAGGCACGAAGGCCAGGGGAGCAAACGGG
rnacentral:rRNA from 1 species